rnacentral:rRNA from 1 species
AUUGAACGCUGGCGGCAUGCCUUACACAUGCAAGUCGAACGGUAACAGGUCUUCGGAUGCUGACGAGUGGCGAACGGGUGAGUAAUACAUCGGAACGUGCCCGAUCGUGGGGGAUGACGAGGCGAAAGCUUUGCUAAUACCGCAUACGAUCUACGGAUGAAAGCGGGGGAUCUUCGGACCUCGCGCGGACGGAGCGGCCGAUGGCAGAUUAGGUAGUUGGUGGGAUAAAAGCUUACCAAGCCGACGAUCUGUAGCUGGUCUGAGAGGAUGAUCAGCCACACUGGGACUGAGACACGGCCCAGACUCCUACGGGAGGCAGCAGUGGGGAAUUUUGGACAAUGGGCGAAAGCCUGAUCCAGCCAUGCCGCGUGCAGGAUGAAGGCCUUCGGGUUGUAAACUGCUUUUGUACGGAACGAAAAGCCUCUUUCUAAUAAAGAGGGGUCAUGACGGUACCGUAAGAAUAAGCACCGGCUAACUACGUG